rnacentral:misc_RNA from 1 species
GAUGAAGAACGUAGCGAAAUGCGAUACGUAAUGUGAAUUGCAGAUUUCAGUGAAUCAUCGAAUCUUUGAACGCACAUUGCGCCCGCUAGUAUUCUGGCGGGCAUGCCUGUUCGAGCGUCAUUUCAACCAUCAAGCCCUAGGCUUGCGUUGGAGCCCUGCGGCUGCCGCAGGCUCCCAAAUCCAGUGGCGGGCUCGUCGUCGUACCGAGUGCAGUAAACACCCUCGCUCAGGGAACGUGACGGGUUCUUGCCGUGAAACCCCCCACAUAUCAAGGUUGACCUCGGAUCAGGUAGGAAUACCCGCUGAACUUAAGCAUAUCAAUAAGCGGAGGA